UGAAGAGAGAGUUAAAGAGGACGUGAAACCGGUAAGGUGGAAACGGAUAGAGUCGGCGUAUCAUUCAAUUAUUCAGUUACAUUAUUUUUAUGUUGUGACCUCUGAGCUCCAGAUUGGGACAGAGGGAAUCAGCAUAAUUUUUUGUGGUGCAUUUACUUGAUUGGUGCUUGGGGAUGUUUGAGGCAGAUUUGUUUCCGUCGUUUUGAGGCCAGCUUGCUGGUACCCAAACGGUGUUAGCAUUUUUUGUCUUGGGCAUUUGAGUAUGGCUCACGUGUAUUUAUUGGACAGAUCUGAGUGUAAGUUACGGUCGCAUGCGACACGUGCUUUUCAAUUAGUUCGGUCCAGUUAAUGCUCUCGUACUCGUUCCCCAUGUAAAAGCCGGUCAUCUAUCCGACCCGUCUUGAAACACGGACCAAGGAGUUUAUCGUGUGCGCAAGUUUUUGGGUGUUAAAAACUUAAAAGCGAAAUGAAAGUAAAUGACUCUUUAGAGUCUGAUGUGCGAUCUUGU
rnacentral:rRNA from 1 species